GACGAACGCUGGCGGCGUGCCUAAUACAUGCAAGUUGAGCGCUGAAGGUUGGUACUUGUACCAACUGGAUGAGCAGCGAACGGGUGAGUAACGCGUGGGGAAUCUGCCUUUGAGCGGGGGACAACAUUUGGAAACGAAUGCUAAUACCGCAUAAAAUCUUUAAACACAAGGUUUAAGAUUGAAAGAUGCAAUUGCAUCACUCAAAGAUGAUCCCGCGUUGUAUUAGCUAGUUGGUGAGGUAAAGGCUCACCAAGGCGAUGAUACAUAGCCGACCUGAGAGGGGGAUCGGCCACAUUGGGACUGGGACACGGCCCAAACUCCUACGGGAGGCAGCAGGAGGGGAUCCUCGGCAAUGGACGAAAGUCUGACCGAGCAACGCCGCGGGAGGGAAGAAGGGUGUCGGAUCGUAAAACUCUGUUGGUAGAGAAGAACGUUGGUGGGAGUGGAAAGCUCAUCAAGUGACGGUAACUACUCAGAAAGGGACGGCUAACUACGUG
rnacentral:rRNA from 1 species